AUAUCAAUAAGCGGAGGAAAAGAAACCAACAGGGAUUGCCCCAGUAACGGCGAGUGAAGCGGCAACAGCUCAAAUUUGAAAUCCGGCCUCGGCCCGAGUUGUAAUUUGCAGAGGAUGCUUCGGGCGACGUUCCUUCCGAGUCCCCUGGAACGGGGCGCCACAGAGGGUGAGAGCCCCGUACUGUCGGAACCUAGCCCGUGUGAAGCUCCUUCGACGAGUCGAGUAGUUUGGGAAUGCUGCUCUAAGCGGGAGGUAAAUUCCUUCCAAGGCUAAAUACCGGCCAGAGACCGAUAGCGCACAAGUAGAGUGAUCGAAAGAUGAAAAGCACUUUGGAAAGAGGGUUAAACAGUACGUGAAAUUGCUGAAAGGGAAGCGCCUGCGACCAGACUCGGGCGCGGCGGAUCAUCGGGCGUUCUCGCCCGUGCACUCCGCCGCGCCUGGGCCAGCACCGGUCCGGCCGGGGGGACAAAAGCCCGGGAAACGUGGCUCCCCCUAGGGGGAGUGUUAUAGUCCCCCGCCGAAUGCCCCCGGGCGGACCGAGGACCGCGCUAACGCAAGGAUGCUGGCGUAAUGGUCGUCGGCGACCCGUCUUGAAACACGGACCAAGGAGUCGAACAUCCGUGCGAGUGUUUGGGUGCCAAACCCUCACGCGCAAUGAAAGUGAACGGAGGUGGGAGCCACGGCGCACCAUCGACCGAUCCUGAGGCACUGCCGACGGAUUUGAGUAGGAGCACGGCUGUUCGGACCCGAAAGAUGGUGAACUAUGCCUGUAUAGGGUGAAGCCAGAGGAAACUCUGGUGGAGGCUCGCAGCGGUUCUGACGUGCAAAUCGAUCGUCGAAUAUGGGCAUGGGGGCGAAAGACUAAUCGAACCAUCUAGUAGCUGGUUUCUGC
rnacentral:rRNA from 1 species